AAGUUUGUUUGUGUGCUAAAGUUAUUUUUGAAUCAGUUACAGUCCAAAUUAAAUCGAAAAGGAUAUGGGGAAAAGAUAAGCUUAGAAAAUCUAGUAAAUAUAUGGAGUGUUUUACGAGAUAUCGGCGACGUGGAAGAAGAUGUUGACGGCAAUGCAGAAAUAUAUUU
rnacentral:lncRNA from 1 species